GUUAGGAAUAUUGGACAAUGGGCGCAAGCCUGAUCCAGCCAUGCCGCGUGAACGAUGAAGGCCUUCGGGUUGUAAAGUUCUUUAGCCGAUGAUUAUAAUGACUGUAGUCGGAAAAUAAGCCCCGGCUAACUUCGUGCCAGCAGCCGCGGUAAUACGAAGGGGGCGAGCGUUAUUCGGAAUCACUGGGCGUAAAGCGUGCGUAGGCGGUCUCGUAAGUUAGGAGUGAAAGCCCAGGGCUCAACCGUGGAAUUGCUCUUAAAACUGCAAGGCUAGAAUCUCGGAGAGGAUAGCGGAAUUUCCAGUGUAGCAGUGAAAUGCGUAGAUAUUGGAAGGAACACCAGUGGCGUAAGCGGCUAUCUGGACCGAUAUUGACGCUGAGGCACGAAAGCGUAGGGAGCAAACAGGAUUAGAAACCCUAGUAGUCC
rnacentral:rRNA from 1 species